rnacentral:lncRNA from 1 species
GCCGCGUCCUCAGGCUCCAGGCUGGGAGGAGAGAGCGUUGGAGGCGCGGAGGCUGCCCACGGCCCCUCCAUCCUGCUCCGCGUCUGCAUCGGCGUCCCCGGGGUGCCGGCCGGGCCUACCUGCGGCUGGGGGACUGGGGCUCCUGCUUGAGGAUGGGGAACAGCGGCUCGCUCUCCACGCCCUGCUCCUGCUUCAGUUUGUACAGCUUCUGCCGCAGCACGUCCUGGUGGCGCUCACGCAGCCUGGGACGCAGAGCCGGGGUCACCCGCAUGGAGGCGAAGGGGCUCCGCGCCCCACCCCCACCGAGAUUCUCACGCCCCUUAUUGCUGCAAGGACCCUGAGAAGGUGGCGAGCAGCCACGGCUCUGGCUGGGACCUUUGCCCAGGCUUGGUCAGUUCAGGGUCAAGGCUUAUGGGAGAGAGGACGAGAGGACGCAGGUACCCUGGUGAACCAUCCCAUGGCAGGGAGAGGUGGGUCUCUGUCUCACGCUGCAGUCUCAGUGUCUUGUGGCUGGGGCUGGCCAGGAGAAGGGGCCCAGCAGGACACCAGCCAACAAGCAUGAUAAAUUUAGAGACAUUUACAAAUUAGCAGAGGAGACAUGUAUUUACACAGCGGUGCCAAAAACACUCCAGAAAUCUGUACACAGCCAGAGGCCGGGAGGCAGCAGCGCUGGGAGGGCGCAGGCCUGGGCGCAAGGCAGUGGGGACAGGCAGGCCGCCUGGGGGCUUCCUGUGAUGCCAUGGCUGCUGGAGCGCGCCAGGUACUCGUUAAAGGGCGGAAGCUCCUGGGGAGCCCUGUGAGACCAACAGGGCUGACUCCAGGUGAGGGCACUGGAGCAUCCUGGGGCCUUCCCGCUAGGGCACGGGACUACGCGCCCCCCGGCCCCCCUUCGUCACUCACAGGCUGGCCCCGGCCAGUCGGCACUUUCCUGCCCCUCUCCACCCCACAUGGUCCCAGGAGGAGGCGAGACCCACCCCACCCAGGACUCAGGAGGGGGCGAAACCCAUCCCACCCGGACGGCACCAACCCUGGUACCCGCACCUAGUGCUCAC